CUUGCUUCUCUUGAGAGCGGCGGACGGGUGAGUAAUGCCUAGGAAUCUGCCUGGUAGUGGGGGAUAACGUCCGGAAACGGACGCUAAUACCGCAUACGUCCUACGGGAGAAAGCAGGGGACCUUCGGGCCUUGCGCUAUCAGAUGAGCCUAGGUCGGAUUAGCUAGUUGGUGGGGUAAUGGCUCACCAAGGCGACGAUCCGUAACUGGUCUGAGAGGAUGAUCAGUCACACUGGAACUGAGACACGGUCCAGACUCCUACGGGAGGCAGCAGUGGGGAAUAUUGGACAAUGGGCGAAAGCCUGAUCCAGCCAUGCCGCGUGUGUGAAGAAGGUCUUCGGAUUGUAAAGCACUUUAAGUUGGGAGGAAGGGCAGUAAAUUAAUACUUUGCUGUUUUGACGUUACCGACAGAAUAAGCACCGGCUAACUCUGUGCCAGCAGCCGCGGUAAUACAGAGGGUGCAAGCGUUAAUCGGAAUUACUGGGCGUAAAGCGCGCGUAGGUGGUUCGUUAAGUUGGAUGUGAAAUCCCCGGGCUCAACCUGGGAACUGCAUUCAAAACUGACGAGCUAGAGUAUGGUAGAGGGUGGUGGAAUUUUCCUGUGUAACCGGUGAAAUGCGU
rnacentral:rRNA from 1 species